rnacentral:misc_RNA from 1 species
CGCACAUUGCGCCCGCCAGUAUUCUGGCGGGCAUGCCUGUUCGAGCGUCAUUUCAACCACUCAGGCCCUGGUGCCUGGCGUCGGGGUUUCUCCGUAAAAAGAGAGCCCCUAGAAAUAGUGGCGGACCCGCCGCGGCUCCGAGCGUAGUAGUAAAAUAUCUCGCUUUGGAGGUCCGUGGGGGGAUCACCGGCCGUAAAACCUCUUCUUUACUGAAGAAUUUCUCAAGGUUGACCUCGGAUCAGGUAGGAAUACCCGCUGAACUUAA